rnacentral:lncRNA from 1 species
UUUCAUUCUCUUCCAUUCUUGCACUAUAAAUGUAAUUAAUGUGCUUGUAUACAAAUCAAUGAAUAUACAGUAAAAUUCAUCUCUUUCUCUUCUAUUUCCUGUCAUGGUAUUAGAGCAGAUAAUCCUGGUUAGCUUCCGCAUUUUUUGAAUUGCCACCGCUUCAUCUUCUGGGCUGUUGUUGCACGAUUCUCACCUGCGAAACAGACCAGCAAACCGGUUAGGAAUUCAACUUUUUUUUGGGUACCAUGACAAAGAAUAUUGAGAGCUCUUCAACGGAGGGAACACCCACCUCAAAUCCGGUUAUCCCCUCUGGAGAAGAAAGAUCUUCAGAAGAAACUCUUUCGGGAAGAUUGGCUCCUACGAUGGGCCAGAUCCCUGGCCUAACACAAUGGCCCGCGAAUUUCCCACCAGCUAAUUGGUAUCAGUGGGCUACUGGGCAGGGACAGAUGUGGUCCCAGUACCCAUAUGGACCAAUGCCGUCUGUAAUAGGCCCCACUGAAGCAUCGGGCUAGACGAACUUAGGCCAGGGAUUCACGUCUGUGCCGGGCCAAGGAUACGGAGCUGUCCCGGGUCAAGGGACGAAUCCGUACCCGGGAUCUCAACUCGAAUCCACGCCGCUGGGUCAGGAACCCGGAUCCAUGCCGGGUCAAGGGACGAAUCCCUACCCGACAUUUCAACCUGGAUACAUGCCGCCCCUUUUUCCGGUCAUCGGUGGCGGCCAGCUUGAACCCAGCGAUCCACUUUACACAUCGCCAGCGGAUGGCCCCAAACUACACCUCAUCAGCAACCAACUUACCGGACCUGAAACUUACUCGUCGUGGGCUCGUGAUCUUCGGCGGGCUCUGGUGACGAAGGACAAGGACGGCUUCCUCGACGGAGCCGUCCCGUUCCCGACCGACGAACGCCUCCAACGUCUCUGGCGGAAGUGCAACCAGUUG